rnacentral:lncRNA from 1 species
GGCUGGCAACAAUAAGGCUUUGCAGAUCACACUCCAGUGAAAUUUUGACUGUAAUCCAUAAAAGUGUCACAUCAGGUAUUGGGAGGUAACACAGAUUAAAUUUUACAUAUAAUAUUAGAGACUGGUAGCUGAUGGGAUGGUAGGAAUGAGUUCUAAAAGAAAAUAUGCCAGGCUGAAUAAUAAGUCCCAUUUCUUAAACAUGUUGUACAAGUGAAAGAAACAAGAGUUAUCCAACAAUAUUUUUGUAAGUGGAAGACACAGUUUUUCCAACAAUAUUUUAGUGAAUAAUUGGAUUCUCUCUGGGGUAGGAAAAUAGAAUAGCCUGAAUUAUUUCCAUUCCAUACUAAUCAGACAGUAGUUUUCCCUUUUAUUCCAUAUGCAAGGCAACUAUUAUUGCAGAGCAGAAGCACCAAGUGUACAAAAGUGUAGCUGCAAAGUUGUGAGAGAACCCAUAAGAAAGGACCCAUUCCAGAAACCAGUUAGAAAUGUUACAUUAUGGCAAGAUAGCAUACAAAAUCAAAGUAUAAAAAAUGAGCUACAAACUGUCCAACUUAUGUUAAUAUCAAUAUAACAAAAGCUGACAGCCUGGCACAAAAAGUGAGAUCAGUGCAAGCUUUGACACAUUACAAUAUGACCUAUCUGAAGGUGUUGAUGAGAAAACUGCACACGCAAAAUCAAGGUCAUAACUUUUACCCCACUGUGUCGUAGGCAUGAUAUUUGAACUUUCAAUGAGAAAUUAAGCUAAUCAUUAAGAACAUUUUAGUUUUGCAUAUAAUAAUCACAUAUAAAUGAUCCAGAAACAUCACCCCAAAUGAAGAGAUGAAAGGAGUUGCAGCAUACACCAUAAUCAAUAGCUUUAAUCACCAAAAAAAGAGCACCGGGUUGAGUAUAACUCUAGCUUAGAUCACACGCCAAAUCCUCUCUCAAAGUUUCCUAAGUAAUCUUAAAGCUUUCAAAAACAAAGAUUCAGGCUGCGAAAGAUACUUGAUAAGAGAAUAAUCU